AACUGUUAUUAACAACUACAUUGCACGGUUUGGAAUUUCAAAAAUGUUUCCUAUUAUUUUUCGUCUUGGUAUUCAAACUGAAAUCACAGGUCGGUAUGGCAGUCACACGUGAGAAACAAAAGACUGAAAAGUGAAAUGUCUUCUCGUAUGUCUUAUCUAUGCUGAAAUACACCUUAGAUAAAUUUUAUUAUCGCACAUACAGUGACAGAAUAAUAUUUGAUGAAUUAUUAUUACCUAUCAGCAAAGCAACAGAAGGUGCUCCUGCAAAAAAAUACUUUCCCGCCAUCAUUCAGAAUGACGGCAUAUUGAUGUAUAAUUCAAUUCUGUUUGAAUUGAAAUCUUGCCGAAAUUCACACGGUAAUAGAAUAAAAUAGCACAAAAUUAAUGUAAAAAGUAUUUACAAUUUUUGUAAAACUCAAUUACAAUAAUUAGAGAAAGGAAUACAAAUUAGUAUUAUAUCAUUGGUGAUUUUUCAUCGAAUUAAAAGCAAAAUAUUACAAUG